rnacentral:rRNA from 1 species
GUGGGGAAUAUUGGACAAUGGGCGAAAGCCUGAUCCAGCCAUGCCGCGUGUGUGAAGAAGGUCUUCGGAUUGUAAAGCACUUUAAGUUGGGAGGAAGGGCAUUAACCUAAUACGUUAGUGUUUUGACGUUACCGACAGAAUAAGCACCGGCUAACUUCGUGCCAGCAGCCGCGGUAAUACGAAGGGUGCAAGCGUUAAUCGGAAUUACUGGGCGUAAAGCGCGCGUAGGUGGUUCGUUAAGUUGGAUGUGAAAGCCCCGGGCUCAACCUGGGAACUGCAGCCAAAACUGGCGAGCUAGAGUACGGUAGAGGGUGGUGGAAUUUCCUGUGUAGCGGUGAAAUGCGUAGAUAUAGGAAGGAACACCAGUGGCGAAGGCGACCACCUGGACUGAUACUGACACUGAGGUGCGAAAGCGUGGGGAGCAAACAGGAUUAGAUACCCCUGUAGUCC